rnacentral:rRNA from 1 species
GCAAGUCGAGCGAGAAGCCAUCUUCGGGUGGUGGAGAGCGGCGAACGGGUGAGUAACGCGUAGGUAUCUACCUAGUAGUGGGGAAUAACCAUUGGAAACGAUGGCUAAAACCGCAUACGCCCUGAGGGUGAAAACUGAGGUGCUAUUAGAGGAGCAUGCGUUAGAUUAGCUAGUUGGUGAGGUAAUGGCUCACCAUGGCGACGAUCUAUAGCUGGUUUGAGAGGAGGAUC